rnacentral:misc_RNA from 1 species
CGAAUUGCGCGCCACGGCUGGCAGUUUUCUCGACCUCUGCUUCAAUCCCGAAUGGGCCGCCGAGGUGACGCUGCAGCCGAUCCGGCGUUUCGGUUUCGACGCCGCGAUCAUCUUCUCGGACAUUCUGGUGAUCCCGCAUGCACUCGGACGCUCGGUGCGCUUUGAGGCCGGCGAAGGCCCCCGCCUCGAUCCGCUCGAUACGCCUGAGAAGAUCGCGACGCUGGCGAUGGCCGCCGACUUCACCAA